rnacentral:rRNA from 1 species
UACGUAGGUGGCGAGCGUUGUCCGGAUUUAUUGGGCGUAAAGCGAGCGCAGGCGGUCUUUUAAGUCUGAUGUGAAAGCCCCCGGCUUAACCGGGGAGGGUCAUUGGAAACUGGGAGACUUGAGUGCAGAAGAGGAAAGCGGAAUUCCAUGUGUAGCGGUGAAAUGCGUAGAUAUAUGGAGGAACACCAGUGGCGAAGGCGGCUUUCUGGUCUGUAACUGACGCUGAGGCUCGAAAGCGUGGGGAGCAAAC